CUUCCUUUGAGGACUCCAGUGCCGUGAUCACCAAGAGGGACGAGAUGGAGAUCGAAUUCUGGUGCGUCUAUCUCAAGAAGGGCAACGUGAGCCUGGAAUUCCUGGCCCACAAGAUUCCGUACAUUUUCAGAGAGAAGGGCUUCGGGAAGUUCACCUACCAGUUUGAGUUCUACCACAGUAGUAGUUUUAACAGGAUGGUGGAUCCAGCCAGUUACCCAGUGGAGGUGUGUAUGUAGUGUAACUAGUUCACUGAACUAUGCUUGCUUAAUGUGUUACCUAGCCUGACACCUUAAGAUCCAGACUGAUUAGGUUUAUCAUCAGUGGGCUAACUCGAUCUUGAUUCAUGCAGACAGCCCAGUUUCAUAGAACAAGAAAUUGCAUCGUCUUUGCUGCUGUAGGGCGGCAGGCAGCCUAGUGGAUAGGGCUUUUAACCAAAAGGUCACUGGUUCAAAUCCCGAGCCGACUAGGUUAAAAAAAAAAAAAAUCUCUCAAUGUGUCCUUGACCAAGGCACCUUGUCACGGUCUUCCUCCUCUUCAUCUGAAGAUGAGAGGCGAGAAGGAUCAGAGGACCAAUAUGCGGCGUGGUAUGUGUUCAUAGUGAAUUUUAAUAGAGAACACUGAACACUAUACAAAAGAGUAACAAAAAACAAUAAACCAAAUACGACCGUGACGCUGCAAAUGAGACCUGUGCUGACACAAGCCACUAACAUAGACAAUCACCCACAAACAAACAGUGCAACCCAGGCUACCUAAGUAUGAUUCUCAAUCAGAGACAACUAAUGACACCUGCCUCUGAUUGAGAACCAUACUAGGCCGAAACAUAGAAAUCCCAAAUCAUAGAAAAUCAAACAUAGACUGCCCACCCAACUCACGCCCUGACCAUACUAAGUAAAUACAAAACAAAGGAAGUAAAAGGUCAGAACGUGACAGUACCCCCCCCCCCAAAAGGUGCGGACUCCUGCAACAAAACCUUAACCUAUAGGGGAGGGUCUGGGUGGGCGUCCGUCCGCGGUGGCGGCUCUGGCGCGGGACGCGGACCCCACUUCACCAUUGUCUUAGUCCGCCUCAUUGUCCGCCUCCGUGGCUUCCUAACCACGGCAACUCUUCUCAAUGGACAGAGGGGCAGCAGCUCGGGACAGAGGGGCGGCAGCUCGGGACAGAGGGGCGGAAGCUCGGGACAGAGGGGCGGAAGCUCGGGACAGAGGGGCGGAAGCUCGGGACAGAGGGGCGGAAGCUCGGGACAGAGGGGCAGGGGCUCCGGCGCCUCUGGGCUGAGGGGCUCCGGCGCCUCUGGGCUGAGGGGCUCCGGCGCCUCUGGGCUGAGGGGCUCCGGCGCCUCUGGGCUGAGGGGCUCCGGCGCCUCUGGGCUGAGGGGCUCCGGCGCCUCUGGGCUGAGGGGCUCCGGCGCCUCUGGGCUGAGGGGCUCCGGCGCCUCUGGGCUGAGGGGCUCCGGCGCCUCUGGGCUGAGGGGCUCCGGCAGCAGCGCCGGACAGGCGGGAGGCUCCGGCAGCAGCGCCGGACAGGCGGGAGGCUCCGGCAGCAGCGCCGGACAGGCGGGACCACCUGUAGGGAGGAGACAGAGAGACAGCCUGGUGCGUGGGGCUGCCACAGGAACCACCAGGCUGGGGAGACCUUCGGGAGGCUUGGUGUUAGGAGGAUGCACCUGAAAGACCGGGCUGUGGGGGAGCACUGGAGCUCUGGUGCGCAACCUUGGCACCACUUCCCCAGUCUGGACAACUACUCUAGCCCGGAUCCUCCAGAGUGCGGGCACAGGUUGAACCGGGCUGUGGGUAAGCACGGGAGAUCUAGUGCUUACUACGCUUAACCGCAUAACACGGUGCCUGACCAGUAAUGCGCUGCUUAUAAUAAGCACGAGGAGUGAGCUCAGGUCUGCUACCUGGCUUAGUACCACACCUCGUCUGCCCCCCCCAAAAAAAUGUUUCGAGGCUGCCUCUCGUACCUGUCGCACUGCCGUGCUGCCUCCUCAUAUCGCCGCCGCUCAGCUUUCGCUGCCUCCAGCUCUGCUUUGGGGCGGCGAUAUUCCCCAGCCUGUGCCCAGGGUCCCUCUCCGUUCAGUAUCUCCUCCCAUGUCCAGGAGUCCUGUGAUGCUGGCCGCUGUUGUUGCUGCUGCUGCUGCUGUCGUCGCUGUCUUUUACCACGCCGCUUGGUCCUUGGUUGGUGGGUGAUUCUGUCACGGUCUUCCUCCUCUUCAUCUGAAGAGGAGAGGCGAGAAGGAUCAGAGGACCAAUAUGCGGCGUGGUAUGUGUUCAUUGUGAAUUUUAAUAAAGAGAACACUGAACACUAUACAAAAGAGUAACAAAAAACAACCGUGACGCUACAAAUGAGACCUGUGCUGACACAAGCCACUAACAUAGACAAUCACCCACAAACAAACAGUGCAACCCAGGCUACCUAAGUAUGAUUCUCAAUCAGAGACAACUAAUGACACCUGCCUCUGAUUGAGAACCAUACUAGGCCGAAACAUAGAAAUCCCAAAUCAUAGAAAAUCAAACAUAGACUGCCCACCCAACUCACACCCUGACCAUACUAAGUAAAUACAAAACAAAGGAAAUAAAGGUCAGAACGUGACACACCUAACCAUAAUUGCUCCUGUAAGUCACUCUGGAUAAGAACAUCUGUGAAAUGACUCAAAUUUAAAAUGAUGUACUUUCCCAACAUUAUAUAUAGAGCUAUAUUGAGUUAACUAAUGAAUAAUGUCAAUUUAUCCUAAAGAGGAUCUAGCCAAUGUACAGGCUAAUUGGUUAUGUCACAGUUCUA
ensembl:lncRNA